rnacentral:rRNA from 1 species
UACGAAGGGGGCGAGCGUUGUUCGGAAUUACUGGGCGUAAAGGGCGCGUAGGCGGCCGAUCAAGUCAGAUGUGAAGGUCCUGGGCUUAACCUGGGGACUGCAUUUGAUACUGAUUGGCUUGAAUUCGGGAGAGGAUAGCGGAAUUCCCAGUGUAGAGGUGAAAUUCGUAGAUAUUGGGAAGAACACCGGUGGCGAAGGCGGCUAUCUGGACCGACAUUGACGCUGAGGCGCGAAAGCGUGGGGAGCAAACAGG